rnacentral:tRNA from 1 species
GCGGGUAGCGCAGGUCGCUAGAAAGCCUUCCAAGCUCUCGAUCAGGGUUCGAUUCCCUGUAUCCGCUCCA